rnacentral:rRNA from 1 species
GACGGAGGAUGCAAGUGUUAUCCGGAAUCACUGGGCGUAAAGCGUCUGUAGGUGGUUUAAAAAGUCUACUGUUAAAGCUUGAAGCUUAACUUCAAAAAUGCCGUAGAAACUUUUAAACUUGAGUAUGGUAGGGGUAGAGGGAAUUUCCAGUGGAGCGGUGAAAUGCGUAGAUCUUGGAAAGACCACCAAUGGCGAAGGCACUCUACUGGGCCAUAACUGACACUAAAGAGACGAAAGCUAGGGGAGCAAAUGGG